GAUGAACGCUGGCGGCGUGCCUAAUACAUGCAAGUCGAGCGAACGGACGAUAAGCUUGCUUCUCUGAUGUUAGCGGCGGACGGGUGAGUAACACGUGUAUAACCUACCUAUAAGACUGGGAUAACUUCGGGAAACCGGAGCUAAUACCGGAUAAUAUUUUGAACCGCAUGGUUCAAAAGUGAAAGACGGUCUUUCUGUCACUUAUCGAUGGAUCCGCGCUGCAUUAGCUAGUUGGUAAGGUAACGGCUUACCAAGGCAACGAUGCAUAGCCGACCUGAGAGGGUGAUCGGCCACACUGGAACUGAGACACGGUCCAGACUCCUACGGGAGGCAGCAGUAGGGAAUCUUCCGCAAUGGGCGAAAGCCUGACGGAGCAACGCCGCGUGAGUGAUGAAGGUCUUCGGAUCGUAAAACUCUGUUAUUAGGGAAGAACAUAUGUGUAAGUAACUGUGCACAUCUUGACGGUACCUAAUCAGAAAGCCACGGCUAACUACGUG
rnacentral:rRNA from 1 species